AUUUGUGAAUGAAUUACGCUGUCAGUGUCAAUUUGUGCGGUAACGGAGUUGUGGUGUCGGUCGUUUUAUUAUUUAAAUUUGAUUGUUUAUAAACGAAACCUUUUAUAAUAGUGUAAAUUAAAUAAUUGUCUUAUAAAUGUUUGUUGUACUUUAUAUGAAUUAAUAAUAUCUGUCUCUUUUCUAUUAUAUAAGAAUAUUAAUGUAAUGUUAGUGAAAGAUGGACGGAAAUCACAGUCGGUGUUAAUUUAGCGUGUCGUUUUGAUGCUGUCUUAAAAGAAAUGUGAUCUAGUUAAGCGAAAAGUGAAGAUUCUACCGUGUAUAGUGAUCAAAUGCAGCAAUGGCUAGCGAUGAGUCCAGUGUACGAGUGGCAGUCAGGUUGGUUAUAUAUGGAAAUCAAAUAUGCAUCUUAUAAAAUUAAAUCAUAUGUCCUAAC